CAACCCUCGUUCAUGUGAUGUUACAAUUGCAUGAAUGGAUUUGGACCGUGUCGUAAUCGACUUGUCCUGAAAUGCAUUAGCUUGCGCUUUUAGAGUGCUGGGCACCGGUGUGAUAAUUAUCUGCGCCAACGCCUUUAGCCUCUUCAGUUGUGCUGCUUACAGUCGUCCUUUGACGGACAAUUAUUUUAAAG
rnacentral:misc_RNA from 1 species